rnacentral:rRNA from 1 species
AUUCAGCUUGAUGACGAGCCUGAUCAAGUUGGUUGGGCCUAUGUGCCCAAGAAAAAGUUUACUACGAAGUCCAUGUACGAACAGCUGGAAAAGAAUAUUGCCGGCUGUGAUUUUUGGUGGAUCUGGAAGGCCCCAAUUCCUCUGAAAAUCAAAAUUUUCCUCUGGCAGCUAUUCCAAGAUGCUGUCCUGACAAGAGAUGACAUGGGCAGCAGAAAUUGGCCUGGAAAUACAAAGUGCUUGUUUUGUAAUAAACACGAAACAUCCUAGCACUUAUUCUUCCUAUGCCCCAUGGCUCGAGUGGUAUGGCGAACUGUGGGUUCGGUACUUGGCACUGACUUAUGCCCAAACAAGAUUUGCCAAUACUUCUCCUGGUGCUUCGUUUUCUUGCCCGAUGGGGCCAGAUUUUAUACCUUUGGGCUGGCAGCAAUCUGCUGGGCUAUUUGGAAUACUCGUAACCGAGCUACUUUUGAAUUUAAACUUCCCAGUACCCCUUUUAAAAUUCUGUUUUCGGCCUGUGUUUUUAUUAACUAUUGGACAGGACUUCUGAAAGGUGCAGACCAUGAGGCCAUGAAGCGAGGUGCACAGAUGCUGAGGGAAAACGCCUGUACCAUGAUGAGACUCUGUGCGGCAUCUACGGACGAGACGGCAAGCUGA